UGGAAACCUAGAAAAGAGGCUGACAGA
rnacentral:piRNA from 1 species